AUGAAUAUAAAUAUCGUCGCUUGUACCAUUUAUUCCUCUUUUGAUUGAUCUGCCCUCGUGCUUCAUAGAGUGUGUUCAUUUUAAAUUAUUCGUUGAAGAUUUAUAGUACAUAUAAAUGUCUGUUAAUUUCUCACUCUCGAAGAGAAGCCUGUAUUAUUGGAACUGAAGAGAAAGUUCCAAGUAACGACUAAGGAAACAAUCGACAAGAGAAACGAACCAACAUUCUCAAUCUUUCCAUCAGAUUUAUUUCUGACCAGAUAGGACCACAAACAGCGACAACGGAGUUUAAACGAAAAUGUCGUAACAUUAAUCAACAAUGAAGUUGAUCGAGUUUUAAACGGCCAUUGACUUCUACAUCAAGUAGCCACGAGAAGAGAAGUACAGUUACAUCAGUUUAUUGAAUAUAUAAUUAAGAUGCAAUUGGGUUACUUAUGGAAGAUAGAAGAGUAAUGAAAAUCUAGCAUUGCUUCUAAGUCAGUUUCACGGCGUUUCCGGAGUUAUAUCAUAUUAAUUUUAUUUGACAUGUUAUUCUGUGCUCCGUCCGGUGGUGUAGUUUAAAUGAAUGAUGAACGAAAACGUAUAUUAUGCUCCUUCUUUUUGCACAGAUACAAAAGAAAAAUACUCAAGUCUAUUUUUUGUACUGUUGUGUGACAUAUAAAUCAUUGCUGAAUAAUUAAUUGAAUUGAAUUGAUAGAAAUUAUAAGAAUGGGGAGCACAUUAAAUUGAGUAUAUUAAAUUGAAUUCACAUAACGAGCUGCAGCUUGAAAAAUAAUAUGAACAGAUAACGUUGGAAGAUACAUAUGUUACCGUUCAUUCAAAUACAAAUUCGAACAUCACCGAGGCUAACAGUUCUUCAUCAAUUACCAUUAGGCCCAAAUGCAUACUUGAAAUUUUAAUGACACAUAAAGGUAGGAUUAAUACACUUGUGUGCGUGCACUUAUACGUUGUUUACCGUGCCACAAUAUUCCUAUGACAGUGAGAAUUUAUACGAGCACAAAAAGAAACUUUCGCAAUACGUCAGCCGGAUCCCAGAUAUCAUUUGUAAAAAAAAGAUUUCUUCACACCAAUUUGUCUUAUUUCUUUUGUUUUGAGAGAAAUGAUUGUAAUGAAUCCUUGCAUACUGUAUAGAUGAAAAGCAACACGGACAAAUUUAGAUCAUUAUAACUGUAUAUCGAGGAUACUUGUUGAUGCAGAUGUAUAGUAUCACGUAGAAGUAUACUUAUAUAUUUUCUAUUUGGUCGUAGAGUGGCUAAAUUUAGAAUAACAAUUUAUUUUUAUUAGCUUUGUUUUUUUACUGUUAUGUUAAAGACUUUAUUUGCAACAUUGAACGGCAGACCGAUUGCAUUGAAAAUCGAAGAAAGUUACAGAAUAUUAGAAGUUCUUUGAGUAGCACUCUGAUCUGGAAUAUAUUGUAAUUGCCUAAGAGGAUAUCAUUAUUAUAUUCUGCAAUAUUUAGCCACCCUGCGGUAAACGUAAGUACUUAAACCAAAACAAUUGAUAUAUACGUAUAUACUAUUGUCCAUUCUUACUCUCAAACGCGCAAAUAUAUAUUAAUAUUUCUUGAGUUAACACAGCUAUUCCUAUGUACACAUCAUACUCAUUUAACGUCCGUUCUAUUCUCAAUUAAUUUAAACAGCUCACUGUCUACAGAAUGGCUUGCCAUUCCCUAGACACAUGUUUGUGAUGUCAACAAAUUAUCCAGAAGAUAUCAACGUGUCGAGAACAACGAAACUAAAAGAACGACGUCAUUUAAAAGAUGAGUGUACCGUAGAAUCGUAAUCGCUACAAAGCUGAUUUCAACUUCAUGGGAGUAGUUGUUGAUUCAAUUUCAUCUUUUUAUUCUUCGCUUGUAUCAUGAUGUGAACACUAAUGGUAAUGGCAAUGAGAGUUAGCCACGGAGAUUUAUAGCCACCCUGGUUAAACGUAACAGUGUUGCGUUUUAAUAGAGAAUACUUAAAGUAAAUAUACGACAAACACAGUUGCGAAUCCAUUGUACUGUGUCAGGAAUAGCUUCAUCGUUGAUCGCAAUUGUGUAUGCUUUGUACGUAUAAUUCUUCGCUAAAUGAUAUACCAAAACAGUGCAGUGGGCUGACAGAAGAUCGUAGGUACAUUUUAUGGUAUAUUUGUAAACUACUUCAGCAUAAUGAAAAUGUAUCUAAGGAUCAGCUUAGGCACACCUGCACUGUGUCGGCAAUCAGAAAACACAGACGUUUGUGUACGUUCACCCAGGUGUAUUCUUCGGAUAGCAUAGCAAGCUGUGUUUUUUCUACACCGAAUUCCCCGUGUGUAGUGGCUAACUUUCGAUACCAAUAAAACCAUACAGUUGAAAUAUUUAUAAGACUUUUGAUACGAUGAAAUGGAUUACUAUGAAAACUUACGACAUGACUAAGCAUCAAUCUAUAUAUGGAAUUUGGUAAACAGCGCCGACGUAUUACUACCUUUGUACUGAACUGUUCGAUGUAUAGAUCGUUACAGAACAGUACAGCACUAUUGGAAAUAGGAACGAGAAAAUGGGACGUUAAGGCUUAGAGAUUGCAUUAUAAAUGUCCACGAAUGGUUCGAAUUUUUACAAUCAUGACGUCGUCUUACACAAUUCCGACGGUCGUCUACGGUUGAAAAUGAGAAACGCCGUUUUACAUCCUUGUUUUACCAAUAUUUGAUUACCAGAGUUCAAGUUUCCUAAGUAUCUUCCGCAACGAAGAUUAAUCGUUUUAUUAAUUGACAUGAUUUGACGAAGGAGGUGUUUCUCAUUUUUCCUUUUAGUUUAGACCACCAUUCUACAAUAUCAGAAUCCUUGGGAGGACGAGAUCUACGGUUACGAAAUCCAAAAGUCCUUCUGGUAGAACAUUUUUUAAUUUGAUGUUCUAUCUUCAGAUCAUCCCAUUUUCUUUUGUUCUUCGGUGACCUGUUUUUACGUCUAAUAACGAUUUCCAUAUAAGAUUCGUUUACCUUGCGAAGAGUAUGGGAGUAAGAAUGUACUCUAAGAGCAUGGAGUACGUGAGAACAAGAGUCUGUAUACAUGAAUUAUUGUCCUUUGGUUUAAUUAUGCUUUCCAUUUGACGCAGCACCAGCGUUCAUAUCGUAUCAUUCUACGUGAUAGGUCGCAUUGCUACUGGGCAAUGUUACAAUUUCAUCUAUACUGUAUGACAAGAACUUGCGAAGUUAUCCACCUUAAUGUAAGUCGGAUACACGAUAAAUUUUUUGUAUCAUUUGUUCAAUGAUUAUCAAUUGUUUCAAAUGUAACUCCGAGUGUACAGAGUAACGGUAGAAUGUGCAUACAACACGAGAGCUUCUUAGCGAAAUCCCGUCACGAUAAUAGCUUAACGCACUAUUACACUAGAAUUUCGCCAAAUGAAGUAUAUAAGCAAUUCUACCGGAGGUGGAAUUUCGUGUUCUAUGGCUUUUGCACUUUAAUGUCUACACCUGACUGAUAGUUAAUAAUGAUACAAGAAACCGGAAUCGUGACACACUAAAUUAUCACACUUCUUACAUCAUCUACUUGGUAUGUAAGUGAUAUAUAGAAAUUUCGUUCGACGAUAAACAACAUAGGUUCAUACAGUAACUGUACUUCCGGUAAAAUCGUAGGCAUUGUUAUUUAUUGAACAUAGAAUUCCUUUUUUCGACAUUACGAUUCAGCAGAGAUUAAAAGGAACUCGCAACGAAGCAACCUGAAGUGAUACCGAUCAAAAUAUUUUUGUGAUCGCAUCUUGAUCACGAUUGCGGUCAAUACAGUAAGGAAACAACAUCAAUUACAAAUGACCAGAGCCUUUGUCACAAUGCCAAGUAUAAUAAUCGACUAAUUAAUCGCGAAACAAGAUCACUUGGACAAAUUAGUGACUCUCGUCUGCCUCCGUCGCGAGGAGGUCAUCAAUCUGCCGUUUCCACUCCAUGGUGUCUCUGUCGAUCAUUACGUUCCUAUCUUCAUUGCUAAUCACCACCUCGUAGUCCUUUAGUUCGGCUUCUAGCUCACGUUCCCAGUCCUCCUCUGUAGAGAGAGAAACAAGCUGCAUUAUAGAUUCCGCGAUGAAUUAUCGCGUGCUCGCGGGGGCGCGUGAAUCGAUACGUGUCAAGUAUACCUGUGCAUCUGUCCGUUGAUUAAUGGUAAAAGCUUGUUCUUAUUAGCCAUUGCGACACCUUAGCGAUACGAUUGUAAAUAUUGUGUCAAUUGUUCUCGGUUCCUCCCACUUCGCAUUCGAUUUGUAAUCUAUCGGUAGAUUAAGCGGGAACGAUACUCGGGAGGUAUUGAGGACUCAGGAAAUUAAUGAGACGGUGACGUUGCAUAGAAGCAGGACGAUCGAAGCACGGUAAUGAUUGUUUACGUUUCGCCACUUCUGUUAAAGCUCACUCGAACUUAGAUACCCAAGAGAUUGGUUUACAAGAGGAUACUGAUUUCCGCGGAUAGAUGACUUCGAAUAUUCGAUACUCUAUUAACUGGUUUAAUUGAUAUUGGGUUAGUUUUCAUCUGUACUACUGUUGAACACUGUUCCGAAUCGAGCAACCGAUUUCGAAGAUCAGUGGAGUCUUCAUUUGUUGCGCUUUCGUUUGUGAAAAAUACGAAUGUAUUGAUAUUCUACAAACUGGUCUUAAUUAACGAGACAUGUUCUUGUUCCUCCUCCAUGUAAGUCAUCUCGUUUCCGCCUAUAUCAGUUGCUGUUGCUUUAUCGUUUUUAUCGCUUCAUGGAAAAUUCCGUGUCCUCUUACAUCGAAAUGACAAACAGCAACAAAGUAUAUGAUAAUAAAUAUACUUUCUAUACAAUGUGAGUGUAUUCACGAUAUCGGUGCUUCUUUAGAAAGCCACAGUAACUGAGGAUCAUGAUACUUGACGAAGUGCAAUUUUUAUACGCAUUUUCGACAGCGUUAGAAUGACGUUUCAUUCGCAAUCUGUUUCGAUUCAUUAAUUCUUCUCGACAUAAGUUGUAAACGUACGAGUUGUUUGUAAUCAUGCUUCCCGCGAGCGUAAGAUGAACGAUUUAGCAAGAUGUUCUAUAAAGAAAUGAUAUCAUUAGAAAUAUCAGAAAUCGGGUUUCACUGUGUCAUGUCGCCGUUUUGUAAUGCCAAUAUAUUAUCGUCUGAUUCAUUUUAUUCACAUCGAAAUGAGAUGCGACAUGGGUAAUUUUCAUUUGCUAUAAUUAUUGUCGCACUAGCAGACAUUCUCAGCGAUUACUGUGCUUCUUAUAUUUACAUAUUCAUCUAAUGAUUUGUCCUCAGACCGGUGUAAGCGUUGAAUAAUUCCCAAUAGUUUCGGAAACCUCUUAUAAACUGCUCUAUUUUCAUGCUUUCUUUCAUUACCAGACUAUUGUUUGCUUUUUAUGAUAUCUGCUUUGUUUGAUACAUUCAGGAUUAGGCUACAAAAUGUGAACAGUGAAUACGAAUGAUUCAGUCGUUGCCUGUGGAAAAGCAUAAUCAUAUAUUGAACGUAACAACUGAAGUUCGAGACUUAUAUAUCGUCAUUUUAUUCGUUCGAAUGUACCAGUAUCGUGAUUAAAUUUAGAAAAAUAAUUCGCCGUCGAAGGGUUGGGUGUCGCAUGUGCAGGAAUUUGAUCACAUUAUAGUGGCCUCGGACUUUAAUCAAUAUCAUUGCGCAGGAGCUGAUUAGAAUUCGUAGUUUCUAUUCUUUCUUGUGAGUAGAUCUGCCUCUUGACGACACAGUUUGAACAAUAUUUUAAAUAUCGUUGAGUAAUGGUAACUUGUGGUCAAAAUAUUAAAGUGGAAACCUUAAACCUCACGCAGAUGUUGUAAUUGAUAAUUAUAUGAAAGCUGCGCAUCACGUACAACAUCAGUUCUGCAUAAUUAAGAACCCACAUUCGCUAUCCCCCGCCCACUGAAAUUCUACAAUUUAUAUCAUCAAACCAUUUCUCCAAGUACUUCACUUCACACAUUGCAAUAAACACUUUCGAGUAAUUUACUUUAUCAAGGUACCGUAUCUGCGCAGUCGAGUAUGUAAAAUACUCCAUCUUCUGAAAUCAUUUAUUAAUGUGAAGUCAACCGACACUUCAUCUAACGGUUCAGUGUACUGCUUGCCGGAUUCCGUAAAUUUUUGUGUGAAAUUCAAUUAAUAUCGCAUAUUUCUCGUUACGGUUUAUAUUUCUCCUUUUAAUUGUCGUUACUAUUGGCUAUCAUGAUGCAUUUAACAGCUUCUCGGUGUGUAUGGAAAACCUUGUACAAAAUAGUCAAACGUAAUUUAAUUACCAAGCCUUUCCAUGCUAAAAGGUGGAAAAAAGUAUUUCGUCGGUAUUUAUUAUUUAUUUGUUUAUACACUAUUGAAUUUUAUAUACGAUCCGGUUGUAUAGAAACAAAAUCAAAUAUUCCCAGAAGCCUGAUCGCAUUGUGGUUCAUAAAAAGAAACCUGCACAUAAGUUAUGAUGUUUCGUGAACUUUAUCGGAGAAUAUGCAUUUUUUUCAAAUUGACUUCCAUAGAAUUUUCCAUCCGACGCUUUUAGAGCAGUGUGAAACUUUUUAAACUGUUCCAAACUUGUUUCUGUUCAAUUGUAGUACAGCAUUCCUUGGGGAAUAUUGCGGGGAAAUAUAUUAUGAGCACAAGUUACACCAUAAUCUCCGCCGUCGCUUGUUUUGUUGUUUUCAUCGCUUCUCAGAUUAGCGUCAAUUUUUGUCGUUCAACUGUUGAAUCACCGAUAAAAUUUUUAUUUUCAUUCUUCAAUCCAUUUUGUUUUUCAUGCCAGACACGACGUAAUUUAUUUCUAUAUAUAUUCUAUCUCCAGUCUUCACUUUCGCCGUCUCUAUUUGUAUAAAACAAUGUCCAAAUGUUUCUAAUAAUUAGUCACAGGACAAUCUUUCGAAGUUGUCAGUUUUUAUUUGGAUAUUUUAGGAGUUUCUUAAUUUAUUAUCGUCAUUUUCCGUAAUAAAGGCCCCCAUGCUGAUUCAAGUUACUCCUUUACGUUGUUUCGUUUGUUACGUAAUAUGAUCGUAUAGAUGGAUGAAAUAACUAAAUGAUAAAAUACAGAAUGGCUGAAUAAAAGAAGAGUAUUCGAAGACGGAGGCAACGGAUUGAAUCAACGUCUGCAUACAAUCAUGUUCCAAUAAUGUUCAAAGAUGUCUUGUUUCUAUUAGUCUUCUUUUUCUUAUUAGCCUAUUACUUAUAUCAUGAAAAUUCUGUUUUCUCUUAUGCCUUUCAUCUUAUUCCUCAAAUUUUACAAUCCACUUGCCUUUAUAGUACUUUCUUUGCAGCAAUGCUUAUGCAGAUCAACCGAUUUUCUUAUUAUUUGCUUCUAUGGCAUUCUGUGGCCAGUAGAAUAUCUAUUUUCUACCAACGUCCUUAAAUAGUCCGUUCAUUUUUUCUCGUAACAACGAGUCAAUAUUAAUAUAUUUGGACUUUAGAUCCUUUUAAUCAUUAUUAGUCAGCAUCGACUCUAGCAUGUGUACAGCAUUUACAGUUAUCAAACAAUCAAUUUUGCUUUACAGUCAGCUUACGGAUGUAUAAUUUAAAAAAUCAACCAAAUCGUAUAUAAUCAACCUAUUCGAAUUGCUGUCAAAUUAUUUAUAUCUCUCAAAUGAUUAAAAACAUAGAGGACAGAAUCGAAAAUUGCGGUGAAUUGUAAAUUAGUCGCCUGUUAGGAACAUGGUAUUUAUGUGUUAAAGGAUACCAGUGAUCCGUUAGAUAGUACGCGAAUGAUGGUAAAAAAAGCGAGGAUACAAAGUCAUGAAAACGGCAGUGAUGAAAUUCAUCGAUAUGUUAGAGGAGUUAAAGGAGGGGUCUCGAUGGAGAAUCAGAGUAUUAAUAAAUCAUUGGUGCCUGUCGGAACGGUCUACAAAGAAGGUUGCUAACAUGGUUUUUCUGAGAGUUCGACGUACGGUCAUUGACUUGCCUCCUCUUCUUUAAGCUGUUAACAAAAUAGAAACGAAAAACAGGUCGUUUAGUCACACAAUUAAUAGUGUAUGAGAUACUGUUAGGCGGCGGACAAAAAGCGUGGGGAGACAAGCAACCAGGCAGAGACGCGGGAGACAUUGACGGGGGUGUUAGAAGGGGGUGGGUCGCUCGAGGGGGCGCGAGGUGGUGCGACGUGGGAAAGUUGGUUGACGACGAGAACGACGGUUUCCUACGGGGAAGUGCACCGGGAGAAGGAAGUUGGAACAGUUGCGUGAGAAACGGGGGAUGAACGCAGACACUACGGUGACAAGGCAUUAAGAACCUUCGGGGAACAUUGUUUGCGACACGACAAUCGUCAGUGUCGCGUUGAUUCACCGACAGUUUCGGACACGUCUCGCGCACGGAUCAUCGGAUCCUAAAACUCCAGUUUCUUUCUCCAUUCGCUUCUACCGUCGUUCGAACAGUUUAUAUUCGAACGAAAUUUCUAAUGUAUAAUGAUUGCGAGAGUACUGUGAACCUUUCUGACUACGCUGACUUUCAGAGUUGAAUGAUUGUAUCUGAAAAUUGUACGCACUCUAUGAAAGCUAAUUUCGUCGAUCUUUGUAAUGAUUUGCAUCAGUCUAUCGUCCAAUGAAAAUGAAAAUAGUGAUCGAUGCUUGUCGAAAGAGCUGUAAUUUUAUAAUGUAUAAUGAUGUAAUUAGCACUAGAACUACCUGUAAUGACUCAUAUAUAUAGUAAUUAUAUAUUCAUAUAUAAUCCCUACAAAAAUUGUAAUAAAUAUCUUCAGUUUCUGUCAUACAUUAUAGUAUUUAAAAUAUCUGUUUUCAAUAUUAUUUCUAAUGCUCAAUGCUUUCGAGACAUCAAUAUCUGCGAAACAAGAAAAUCGAUACCAGCAGUUUUGACUGGUAGUUCUAGUGUUAGUUACGUACAAACGGAAAUGUAAUGUAAAACGAAUUAUGUAGAAUUAUGAAUUACAUAUGAAUGUAAAUGUCAA